ensembl:lncRNA
AUGGAUGAAUACAAACAUGCGUUGUUCUUCGAGGCAAACGAUCUGAAAGACAAAGAGAAAGGGAAAAUCAGAAGGUACUUUCAGAUAAGAAGAGAGUCUGGUGGAGGUGAUUGUGGAAUGAUUGAAGAGGGAGAAGGCGACACUUAUAAGAUCUGUUUCAAGGAGAAAGAAGACCAGGAAAGGGUUUUGCUGAGGAAGUUUCACACCAUCUCUCUCCCUCGCGGAAAAGUGCGUCUGACAGUGAGCCGAGCGAUGCCAUCGCAGUCUGACGAGCCAUCAUCCUCCAGCUCGUCACAGACAUUCCCAAAACCAAAUACAAAAUGCCUUGAGAUGAUUUUCCCGUUGAACCUUUUCCUCCUGUGCUUCCUGAGAGACAACCCAAAAGCUAAUAAAGUCUUACAGAAGAGACUAUUUUGUAUUGGCUGCACGGUGGAGUUGGAUUUUGAAACGGAGGCGGCAGUGGUUAGGGGGGAUAUUGAGAAGGCCCCGGGAGGAGCCUUCGGUGUGGCAGAGAAGUGGGAGUUACAGGUGGAUCGGGUCUUCACCGGUGUCAAUGAGACCUACUGCUGCUAUACUGCUGUUGAGCCCAAAGAAGUCAAAAUCCUACAGCAGGACCCGUCCUUUGUGACAGACGAUAUCAAAGUGUACAGUGAGAGCGGUUACGUCGUGGUUGUUGGAGAGGUUGAGGCUGUGAAUGAGAGGAUUUCAAUGGUCAAAAAGAGCAUGCCUACCCGGAAGGAAUUACCAAUUGGGGAGAGGCAGUUCAAACUGGUACAAGAAGAGUUCAGUCGAGAAGUGUGUG